rnacentral:rRNA from 1 species
CGUAAACAGAGGGAAGCGAGCCUGCGAGGGGGAGCGAAUCCCAAAAAUAACGUCCCAGUUCGGAUUGUAGUCUGCAACCCGACUACAUGAAGCUGGAAUCGCUAGUAAUCGCGGAUCAGAAUGCCGCGGUGAAUACGUUCCCGGGUCUUGUACACACCGCCCGUCACACCAUGGGAGUCGGAAAUGCCCGAAGUCUGUGACCCAACCUUAGGGAGGGAGCAGCCGAAGGCAGGUCGGAUGACUGGGGUGAAGUCGUAACAAGGUAAC